rnacentral:lncRNA from 1 species
AUAUCCAACAUCUAAAUCCCCUUCUUCAAAACAAUCCAACACACCAAACUAUAAUCAACCUUCUUUAAAAGGGGGGACCCCUUAUUAUAAAUCCUCCCUCAGUUCAAAUACUAUCUCAAAAUCCUCCCUCAUUUUAAAUCUUCUAAAAAUCAUCUCCUGCUGCCAAACGGGGCUGCCCUAGCCUCCCAAGAAACCCAACACUCCCGAACAAUUUAUCACAGCCGACUCUCUCAUCAACCAUCACCGGCCAAUCUACCACAACUAUUACAACCAUUUCUACCUCCAUUAAUUACCGCAAAACCCAUAACUGCAUCUUUACCUCUAUGUAUAUGUAUGUGUACAAUAUGUUAACAACUCCCAAAUAAACAAAUCUAAAACCUAGAUUUGAGCAUUUUCUUUGGGGUAAUGAGUAGGACAAUCAACCAAUUUAAGAUUUGUGAUGGUUAAUUUUUGUAAUAUCAAACUCAAUUUGAAGUUUUCUCAGCAUUCUUUUGGGUGUCUUGCAAAAAUAAAAACACAAUUUGAGUUGUCUUUCGUAUAAUUUGGAAAAAAAUUAAACUCAAAUUGAAAAAUAUCAAAUCUGGUUUGAUUCUUCUGUGUGAGAGAAAAAAUGCUCUAUUUUUUUCUUUUGUGUAUAUGAGAUAGAGAGAGAGAGAGAGAGAGAACACAGGAAUAUUUAAGUAAUUUAAGUCCCCGAAGCUAGUAGACCACUCUGAUAGGAGGGUGCAGUGUAAUUUAUUAAAUGUUAUGGGAGAAUAUGUAUUAAAGGAAAAUAUAAAGGGAGGGAAGUGUAAUUAAUCCAAAAAAGUUCCCUUUGAAGACUGGAAGAGUUUUUAAAUUUAGAUACAAUAAUUACUUGACAAAGGUUCGUGACGAAGUGGUAAACUGUCAACUGUCACUUCUAAGUAAAAUCCGAGCUCGUGAUCACUGUACGGACCUCCCCUAUCGGCGGCGUACGGCGGCGCAUUAUAUGACCUCAUUUGGACACGCGUAGACCUGCAACACUCAUUUAAACUUAUAUGACCUCAUUUUAACAAAGGGAAAUGGUGUAAUAAGACAAAUAUUGUAAGAAUAUAUCCAAAAUAUAUAUAAAAUAUGUAAUAAUAUUUUUGAAAAGUGUAUCAAAAAUUAAAUUUUUUAUCAUUUUGUACUCCUUACUGACCGCCCAUUGAGCGGUCAAUAGCAAGACUCGUUAACAAAUAUUGACACUCUUCUGUAAUUUUAAAAAUAAUAUAUUUUUUUUUUACUUUCAAAAUUAAUAUUAAAAUUCUAUUGGAGUUUACUUUUAUGUUAAAAGGAUUAAUUUAUCUUUUAAUUUAGAACUUUUAAUUUUUUUUCUUAAUAUACCAAAAAUCAAAUUUUUCUGUUUUAAAAAAAUAAUUGUUAAUAGUUUUUAGGAGAUUAUUUUAAAAAUUAUAAUUUUUACUAUGGAAUUAAAUUAAACCCAGAGGAGGUCAGUGAAACUUACCCAAUUUAAUAUUAAAUAUGAUAAAAAAAAAUUCCCUUUCACAUGCUAUAAAUUUGACAAGUUACAUUUACGUAACUAUGAUGAUUUCAUCGGUUCACUUGUAUGAUUUAUUUAAAUAAAUUGUCUAUGAAAAAUUAAAUUAAUUGAAUAUUAAGAUCCUAUAUUAAUUUAUAGUUAUCCAACAAGAAAGUAAUUUUUUUGAAUAGGCGGUUCAUAUUUUAAGAAAAAGCGAUUAUGGUUGAUUAAUUGAUUUGUGAAUUAUCGAUUUUCUGACAAACAUUUUGUGGAACUUACUUGCCCUAGUUUGGGGAUGAUUUUUUUUUUAUUUUUUGUAUUUUGGUCUUUUAGUGAUUGGGUUUUUUCUCGUUUUAAAAUCAUAUUUUAACUCUUUUUUUGAUUCGUUUGAUGAGAGAGUUCCGAAAUAUGUCAUUGUUUUUUAAUAUAUGUAUUGAAAAAAAAAAUCACUAAAUAACGAAAGAAACCCAUUUUAGAUUAUUUUUUGGGUUAAUAAUUUUUUUUUGGGACUUUUUAGUAAACUAUUUUCCAAUUAGAUGAACUUUUAAAAUUUCAAAACUCUCAUUAGAUUUUAUUUUUGGGAUAAAAUAUUUUUUUUUUUGUUUUUCAAUAAAUACAUGAAUUAGAUAAAAAAAACUAUCUUUUCGAACUCUCAUCGUCGUGUGGCCGAAAAAAUUAAAAGUUUAAUCACUAUCAAAAAAAAAUUGACAAAAAUUUCAUAAUGAAAUUUUGGAUUGCAUUGUGUAGUGGAAGCAAUUUGAAUAUAAUUUUAGACAUAUUUUGAUCAUUCAAAUUGUUCAUAUUAUAUAUCUUAUAGAAAAAUUUGAUAAUGUAAAAAUCAUGUUAAUCAAAUACAAAUAAAUAGUCAAUCAAUAUCAAUUUAUAUCAAGAUAAAUAGCCUAUAAGAAUAUUAACGCACAUAUAUAUUAAGUCAUAAACAGUAUUGAACAGACAUCAAUUUGUAUUCGAUCAAUAUAAAUUUUUAUAAUAUUAUUUUUUUAUGAUGGAAUCUACGACAUGAGCGAUUUUUAUUAUCAAAUUGAAUCUAAAAUAAAUCUAAAAUAUUUGAGUGUAAUUAAAAUUUUGGAUUUAAAGAAAGAUGCCUCUUUUUUCUCUCUCUCUCUGAAUUUCCUUCAAUUAUUGCUAUCUUUAUCGUUUCAUAGCCCUAUGGCCUUUGCUUUUUCGAUUCCUCGAUAAUCGUUUUCCUAGUGAUUAGCGAGCUAUGUACCAUCAUUUUCCUAAAUGGAGCCCUUUGUUCACCUGUACCUCUAGUUUCCUAAAUUUUUUUAAAGUUUCAUGCCAAAAAAUAGCUAUACCACUUCAAGUGACUCCGGCUUUGUUCGGUAAUGCUUAAAAGUCAAUUUUUUUUUAAACUUGUUAUAAAAAAUCAAGAUUUUUUUUGCUUUUUUACUUUUUUGUCUUUACUUCAGCUAAAAAUAAAAUUUUAAAAAAAUAAAAAACAAAAAAGACAACUAUGACUGCCUUUUUUUGCUUAUAAGAUUAAAAAAAAUCAGUCGAAAAUCUGGUAUCAAAUGGAGCCUCAUUGUUAGAGAAGUUCUUAUAUCUUACAUGUGGACAGGGGCGGAACCAAAAUGAAUAUUCAGUAAAGUUAAAAUUGUCAGAAUUUAUGUUCUGCGAGGUUAAAAGAGUCAGAAUUUAUGUUCAGUAUGGUCAAAAUUAUAGAAUUUAUAAAAUUUAAGAUAAAUUACUAAUUUUUAUGGGGUCAAAUUUAUAUUUAUGACAAUUAUAUUUAAAAAAUAAUGUAAUUUUUUUUCCAAUCCCAUAUAUGGCUGUGUCACUGCAUGAGGAUUUACCAUGGUGGUUAGGCCAAGUUUGACCUAACUAAGCUUAUAGUUUGUUAGCUAAUUUAACUGUUUUUAUUUGGAUAUAUUUUUCAUUUUUAAUAAAAUUUAUUUAUUAAUUAUUUGAUCAAAUUUUUAUAUUUUUUAGUUCCUUUUACCCUGAGAAAUAUAAGAUGUAAAAAAUUUGCUAUAGUUUGAAAAAAAACCCGGUCACUUACGACACGAGAAAUUAUCUUAUUUGAAGAGUAAAAAUAUUAUUUUACCGUCUUGAUUAAACUUUUUUAACAAAUUCAAUAAAAAAUUUAAAAAAUUGAAAGUUCUCUAAUCAAGAAAAUCAAAAAAAUAUAGAAUUUUAAUCAUACGAUUGUAAAAAAAAAAAAAAACUAAAACUAAAAAUACUAUUAAACCAAAGCAUCUAAAUUAACUUACUUCUUCUAAACCAAUUUAACAAGCACAAAAUUGGGGGACUUGAUCUAUAAAAUUUAUUCAUUAUUUAGACAUUCAUUCUUUUAUCAUUUGUUAAUAAAAUAAAAUUAAUCUAAUAAUCGUUAUCACAUGAUUUUAUAAAAUCAUAUUUAAAAAAAGAAAAAUGUUAUACAAACUAACAAAUUUCACAAAUUUUUCGUAUUCACUGAUGUGUUAGGCAGUAAUAAAACUUCGGAACUUGAAAUGAGACUCACUAAAGUAAUGUGAUAGGGACAAUUCAUGUAAUUGAUAAAAAAAUAUAAGAUUUGUUAUUUCGUAUAAUAUUAUUUUUUUUAAUAUAUAUAUAUAUAUUCGCACUUGAAUGUGCAAUGUGACGUGAUGAACAGGGACAGUUGUCUUACCCUAUUUGUGUGGUUAAAAUUUUUGGCACUAAUAAAUUCAGGAUCUUUGGAAAAUGAAGCUAUAUCUAUAGAUAGAAUCUCUAUAGAGGUAGGUGCUUUGUUGUUUGGUUAUUAAUUUGUGAGAGUGAGAGAUGUUACAGUUUUCCAGGUGAUGUCUUUCUUCAUACACCCGUCUAUCAUGGGUCCUCUGUUUAUGGUCACUAGACCCUUGUUUUACGAGCUUGGAGGGUGAAUUCUCUCUACUCGUUGGUUAGAAUGGGAAAAGGACACCGUACGAUGAUUAGAUUUUUAAAUUUUUAAAAUUUUGUCAAAAUUCUUCAUUCACACUAACUUUAAUAGUAGUCAGCAUCAGACAUUUAGACACAAAAAAAUAUAGGAUGUGUCUGCGGACUAGGGAUGGCAACGGGGGCGGGUUUGGGGCGGGACGAACUAGUCCCGAAUCCGCCCCGAUUAAAAAAAUCAUCUCCCACCCCCGUCCUAAACCCGUGAAGAGGUGGGACUCAAAAUCUCAUUCUCGUCUUGCCCCUCCCUGAUUAAUAUAUUUUUUUAAUUAUAUAUAUUUUUUAUAAACUGUAUAUAUAUAUAUAUAUAUUAAGGAUAUUACGGUGUAUUAAAAAAAAUAAGGAUAGUUUUAACUAUUUACACAUAAUCGGUGGGGAUGAGCUAAAUCCGAACCCCUCCUGAGUUACAUUUUUCUCCCAUAACCUAUCCCGAACCCGUUUAUCUAGACUCCAAAUCCACCCUAUUAUAUACGGGAUGGAGGUCCGAUUUUUCAAGUCAAAUUGUCAUCCCUGUUGCGUACCAAGGCUAACUGUACUCCGUUUGAGAAACACAAGUUCUACACGCACACAAAAACAAUCGCUUUUAGUAUAUUUAUCCAAGAACAGACCGUGGGUGACCCAUGAGGAUUAGGAUUUUGGUUUGCAAAAUCGAUUUACCCCUGUCAUUUUCUCAUAUGCGAUUAUCAUAAAAGUAAAUUGGAUUGUACCUGUUUUUUAAGUUUUACACUCUAUUGGUGUCGCCCACCAUAAUUUAUAAAUGCUACUAUAUUAUUUUGUUCCUUUUGAAAUAAUUGAAUUAUUACAGAUUAUUUUUAUACACGUCCAUCCCUAGUUACAACAAUGGCACGGUCCUCGAACUUGGACAAAAAAGAUUUUUUGAACUCAAAAUGAAUAAUUUAGAUUCAAUUUAAUAUAUAAUCAAGUUAAACUGUACAUUUAUUUUUGAAUUUGGAUAAUAUAUCUUGAUCCAAAUUCAGAGAGAAUAAAGUUUCUCGUCAAGUUUACUAUUGAUAUACGGGGAGGGGGAAGUGCUUGUAGAUAAUUAAGCCAUUCAAAUCAAAGUGCAAUGGCAAGGAAAAAAGGAAAUGAUUUCCCACUCUUUUUUUUUUUCCAAAUUAAAGAUAAAACGUGGAGUGUAUUGAUACACGGUCUUUCUAAAAAUCCAACCGAUAACCAAGCGAUGGUUAAUGCAUACUUCUAAUGGUUUUAGACAUGUUAACAUGUUUUAAUUAUUUUAUUAUUUUUUAUAUAUUUUUCACACUGAUCAAUAAAUUUUUUAUCUAUUGAACCAUUGCCCAUUAAAUGAUAGUCAACAUUUUUCUUUGAUAAAAAGUAUAGUGCAACUAUCAUGAUAAAAAAAAUCAGGAAAAAUAUAAACUGAAUUCACAUCCAAAUUGUUCUCACGCCAAGAUUAAUUUAAACCACCCCACAAUACUCAUAAUUUUGAGAUAAAAAUUGUUUAGCUACAUUUUUCAUAAAGAGAAACUGAUAACGAGAAACCUAUUAUGGUUUAUGAUAUAGACAAGAAAAGGUUUACUAAUUUAAAAUGGGUGAUUCAGAUUUAUAAUAGAUUAUAGAAUCUCGCAUGCUUAAGUGAAUUUGAACUAUUUAUUUUAAAUUUAAAUUUUUUUCUUAAUCUAAAUUUAAAAAUGGGAACACUAAAAUAAUAAAAGAUAAAUUAAAUAGUGGAUGGUGGAUGGAGGAUGGAAUGGUGACAGAAUGAUCUCAUUUUCAUCAUUAAAGCUGAUAUACUAUGUGUGCCUUUUGACACCCUAUGCCCCCUAAAAAUUGUCCUAAUUUGUCAAACCACAAACAUCGCGGGUAGUGCUAUGGGUACCCCAUUUUGGGUACCCCAAAUGCACACCAUAGACACAAGAGAAGUGGGUUCCACACAUUUGGGGUGGGCUCCAUACAUUUGGAAUGUGUGGGGCCCACUUCUUUUGUGUCUAUCUCUCUCUUAAGUGUGCAUUUGGGGUACUCAAAAUAGGGUACCCAUAGCAUUUUCCCAAACAUCACCCCUUCAUUGGCUUGGUGCCAUGAUUUGGACUCUCAAAUGAACUAAUUAGUCCCUUUCUUAUGCGUCCUACCCACUAAAAUAAUCUGAACUACCCCACAAAUAAAAUGAUAAAAUUGACUUUAAUUUUAAAAAAGUGAUUAACUAAAAUAAAGGUCAAGAAUUUCAAAACUAAAUUCCUUGUUUAAAAGAUCUUACAAAUAAGUUUUUAAAAAUUGACUUUGUAUAGAAAACUGAAUCUAAACAACCAUAUUACGUAAUCUUUCUGGUGAGAUACAAAGCUCUCGUCAAUUGGAUCUAACUCGGAAUUGUAAAUUUCUUAGUUUUGCAUUGUUUUUAUCCUAAUAAACUUGAUAUUUGGUUCGCUAGACAAAUUAAUUCAAAGAACCAAUUUCAUCGUUCACAAGCAUUUAAAAUUAGAGUAAAGUCCCAUCAAAACUGGCCAACAUAAGAAUUGAGAACACAUGGAUAUGAAUCAAAUCCAAACUAAAAACUUCACGAAAUCUUAGUGAACGAAUUGCUUCUACUGCGCAUUAACGCCCAAUAUUUACCUUAUCAAGGUGCAAUGGUGGGUCCCAAAAGCACUAAAGUGAAGCAUGGUUUGGGAAUUGAAUUCCUUGUUAAGUGACCAAUUGCUUAAUGGUGGGUUAGUGGAGGUCAUUGUGCAUACCACUGGGCCACUAAUCAAUGUAAGAUGACGAAGAUGAUGUGAUGAGGACAACAACUAUUUCAUGAGAGUCCAUAGGAGAAUGUAAUCUUAGGAUAUACAUUCAACAACCACUGAGGCUCCGUUAGAAUCAUUUUUUUUAUUUUUUAGAUUGAUUUUUUUUUAAUACUAACCUAAAAAAUCAUUCAAACUUAAUUUUUUUAUUUUUUUUUUUAUUUUUUUUGCUCUUUUGCUCUUUUUUAACUAAAUGUAAAGCAAAAAAUACAAAAUUAAAAAAUUUUAUUUUUUUGAUAGCAAACUUAAAAAAAGCUUGACUUUUAAUAUUACCAAACAUAAAGCCUAAGUAUGCUUUCACAAAACACUUUGUUUGGAUAGCUUGUGGAGGACAAUAUUCUUUUUACAAAAACGGUUUUAAAAUAACCUCUUUCACUUCAUCACGUCAGUUUCGCCAGCUAAAUUAGUUGUUUUUGGUCUGUAAUUUUUUUUUUAUCCGUAUUUUUUUAUUGUGUUUAAUUAACAUUUUGUUAUAUCAGUUUCUCGUUAAUCAGCUGAUUGAAAAACGUAAAACAAUGUUUUUUUCUUUUUUAUUUUUUAAAAAAUCCACUAGAAUUUUAAGCCAUCAGCACUCUUGAUCCACUGGAGAAGAUUUUGAUCCCCUCUUUUUCUAUCUUCUUCAAUUUUGAUGAUCUUGAUUAAAAACCAUCACACACCUAGAGUUUGGUCAACAAACAAAAAAUGUUCAAUUAACAUUAUGAAGGCUUUAGCAAACAAACUCAACAGGGUAGAUAAUAAAAGAACAAGAUAAAAAAACCCAUAGGUUUUCAUAAGCUUAAUAUGGUGCUAAAAAAACCCAUAAAUUCGUCAUUCGCGUGUGGAGAAAUAUAUAAGAAUGUAAAAUACAAUCACUAGUAUGUGACGACCACUCACAACAGAAAAAUUUUGAUCAUCGAAACGAACUCCCAAGCUGUCUUGAAAGUAACUAAUUUGUGUAAAUCUAAAGUUUAAUAAUUAAUAGUACUUAACAAAAUGAAAGAAACAAAAAGUACUAGCUCAUGCAUAAUCGACUUUUAAACUCGUUAACUUUAAGUUGUACCAAACAUUAUCUCAAUAUAAAAAGAAAGAAAAUUAAAAAAAAAUCAAGGCUUUGACCUUCGUAAGAAAUUAGAAGACUUCGUAGUUUCAAUCUUAAUGAUUAUAUCUCGGAUUUGAAUCCCGAACAAAUUAAAAGCCUCUAUUGACAUUCAUUUAUUUAAGAUUAACGAACUAACUGUUCUUGUCCAAUAAAAACUACCCAAAUUGCACUAUUGCAAGGAAUUAAAUUAAUUGCUAUCAUGUGUCCCAAUAUAGUUGGAUCCAAGACUAAUCAAUGAAAUAUACACUUGUAUGCAUAUGACUUGAUCCUUCAAUUUAUCAAACAGACCUUCUUCCGCCCUUAUACCCUUGAUUUUUGUUAAAAAUACAAGAAUGACCCCAACUGGGUUUGACAGGGGGGUGCGCUCCUCACAAGUCAGAGCUUUGAAAGCAGCCCUUAAAUAACAGCUGGAGACUGGAGGCAAUAAAAAUUCACUUAGCAAUUCCAAGGGGAUUUAUUUUUUAUUUUUUUUCAGUAAACAAUAUAAUUCAUUAGCAAUAAUUAAAUUUAUUUAUAUUGUAACCGUUAAUUUCCUCAUCAAUUUUUUUGUUUUUACUUUUUUGGGUCAUCUUUAUCAGAAAAAUAAUAAAGUAAAAAAAAAAUCUUUCCAAAAAGAAUACUAAAUGCAAAUAAAUCCAAAUUUUGAUUAUUUUAGAAUUUAUUUUAAAGUAACUUGGAUUUUAAUGGUUUCUUUGUAAAAAAAAAUAUUGCUUACCAUUUCAUUUCCUCUAAUUGGGAGAAUAAAAAUGUAAAAAUUAUGUCUAAAAAAUAAAAAAAAUCAAAGAUAAAUUUCACUGAAAUCUCUUGAAGUUUUGACAAUUACAACCAUAAUUUUAGAAAUAACACUGACCUCCUUGACUUUUGAAACUAAUGUCAAGAUUCCUCAUCGAGUUUAUUUUUGUGUAAAAAUAACAAUUUUAACAUUUGAUUUAGGGCUUUUAAUUUUUUUAUUAAUACACCCAUUAAAAUAAAAUAAUAUUUAAAAUACUAUUUAUUUGUAAACUAUUUUAUUUUUAAUUUUUAUCAAAAUGUAUUUUUUUAAAAGAAUUAUAGAUCUAAAUAGUUUAUUUUUUAAGUACUCCUACUGAAAAAUGUCCUUAAAAAAUAAUACUUUAUUACUCAACAUUUAAAAAAAAAAUCUAAAAUUUUUACCUAUUAAGUGCUUCUAUUUAAGCAUACUUAAACAAUAAUUAUAUUUCUAUUAGUUUUAAAAAAAAAUGAGAGAACCUUCAUAUCUUAAUAGAUAUAUUGAGAAAAACAAAUUAAAAAACCCUAAAGCAAAGACAAAUUUAUUAUUUUCAAACAAAAAUGAACUCCAAAAGAAAAUUUUGACAUUAGUUUUAAAUAUAAGAGAGGUAAAAUCACAUAAAGGUUAUUGUAUUCGUCAAAAACCGUGAAAUUUAUCUAAUUUUAUAACCUUUCUAUGAAAUGUAAUAUUAAUUAAUUUGAAUAUUUUAAUAACUAAUACUACUAUUAAAUUAAAAAUUUUAAAUUUCUCGAGAUAGUGGUUGUCCUCAUCCGCCUUCCUUGAGUCCAUUCCGACUAUGUGUGUGUGUGUGUUUGUUAGUGGGUGAAUGAAAUGAUGCACUGAAGUUUUUGUAUGAACUUUUUAUAAUGGAGAUACUUCCCUGGAUUCCUUGAAAGAUCUGUUGAUACCAUGUCUUUCCAUGUUUCAUAAUUUGUAGGCCUAAUCAUUCCUUAAUGGACCUUUUACACUUCCAACACAAUAGCCUAUGUUGGUUUGGCUCAUUAAGACGAUAAAAAGGCUGGAUUUAGAGGAAUUUGAUUAAAGGU